AGUUCGAUCAUGGCUCAGAUUGAACGCUGGCGGGAUGCUUUACACAUGCAAGUCGAACGGCAGCACGGACUUCCCGGUCUGGUGGCGAGUAGCGAACGGGUGAAGUAAUGUAUCGGAACGUGCCUGGUAGCGGGGAUAACUACCGAAAGCGUAGCUAAUGCCAUAUGCGCCUUCGAGGAAGCGGGGACCUUCGGGCCUCGCGCACUAUUAAACGGCCGAUAUCGGAUUGGCUAGUUGGUGAGGUAACGGCUCACCAAGGCGACGAUCCGUAAGCUGGUUUGAGGGGACGACCAACCACACUGGGACUGAGACACGGCCCAGACUCCUGCAGGGAGGCAACGGUGGGAAUUUUUGGACAAUGAAACCUAGUCCAGCCAUCCCGCGUGUGCGAUGAAGGCCUUCGGGUUGUAAAGCACUUUUGGCAGGAAAGAAACGGCACGGGAUAAUACCCCAGCCACAUGACGAUACCUGCAGAAUAAGCACCACGGCUAACUGCCCGUACCCGGCAGCCGCGGUAAUACGUAGGGUGCAAGCGUUAAUCAGAUCACUGGGCGUAAAGCGUGCGCAGGCGGUUCGGAAAAGAUGUAGAAAUCGAUACCUUUGGAACUGCAUUUUAACUACCGAGCUAGAGUGUGUCAGAGGUGGAAUUCCGCGUGUAGCGGUGAAAUGCACGUAGAUAUGCGGAGGAGCACCGAUGGCGAAGGCAGCCUCUGGGAUAACACUGACGCUCAUGCGGCGAAACAAGGGGAGCAAACAGGAUUAGAUACCCUGGUGGUCCGCCUAAACGAUGUCAACUGGCUAUUGGGUAUUCGGGCCUUGGUAGCGCAACUAACGCGUGAAGUUGACCGCACAAGGGGAGUACGGUCACCAAGAUUAAAACUCAAAGGAAUUGACAGGGACCCGCACAAGCGGUGGAUGAUGUGGAUUCAUUCGAUGCAACGCGAAAAACCUUUACCUACCCUUGACAUGUCUGGAAUCCCGAAGAGAUUUGGGAGUGCUCGCAAGAGAACCGGAAUGGAACACAGGUGCUAUGGCUGUCGUCAGCUCGGUGUCUACAGUAGAGAUGUUGGGUUAAGUCGCAACGAGCGCAACCCUUAUCUGGUUGCUACGAGGGCACUCUAAUGAGACUGCCGGUGACAAACCGGAGGAAGGUGGGGAUGACGUCAAGUCCUCAUGGCCCAUAUGGGUAUGCAGGAGCUUCACACGUCAUACAAUGGUCGGGACAAGGGUCGCCAACCCGCGAGGGGAGCCAAUCCCAGAAACCCGAUCGUAGUCCGGAUCGCAGUCUGCAACUCGACUGCGUGAAGUCGGGAAAAUCGCCUAUUAAUCGCGGAUCAGCAUGUCGCGGUGAAUACGUUCCCAGGUCUUGUACACACCGCCGUCACACCAUGGGAGUGGGUUUUACCAGAAGUAGUUAGCUAACCGUAAGGAGGGCGAUUACCACAGUAGGAUUCAUGACUGGGGUGAAGUGUAUAAGGUAG
rnacentral:rRNA from 1 species